CUUUGACCUCGGAUCAGGUAGGGAUACCCGCUGAACUUAAGCAUAUCAAU
rnacentral:rRNA from 4 species